GGGGGAGCUAGUCACUGGCCCUGGGCAAAACACAGGUCAGCAACAAUCAAUGACUCAUAGCAGGAAGUCUGGCUCAUUUAUUUACAGCAUUCAGGAGAUGGGGGAGGGGAAGGCAGAGCAGUUGACUUCCUCUGGAAUUUGUGUUUCAGGAAAGAGUGAGAGGUGCAGUUAUAGGGUGAGGGGUCCUGUGAUAGGUACAGGGCAGUUAUAGGGUGAGG